AUUAAAGAGCCAACCUUUCGUCAUUUUCUCUUGCACAGUUAUCCCCAAAUUAGAGAAAACCCUUUUCGACGAAAAAUUGGUUCGAAGUCCAGAUUCCAUCCUGAAUAAGAAGUCAGUGAUUAAUUUAGCAAUCGUCUCCAUCUUUGGGUUUCUCAGCUCUAGUUAAUCUCGCGGUUGGGUUUUUUUCCUUUUUAGCCAUAAGACGGAAGCUGCACCGCAUGUAAAUCGACCAUCUCCAAGGCCAUCCAUCGCCUCCAGCGAAAUAUCGCAACAAACAUUAUGUAAGCAUCAUAUAUUUGUUAUUCAUUUUCCUUGAUUUUACUGUUUUCGAAUAAUUCAAUAGUUUGAAGAUUUUACAGUGCUCGGUGGUUGUAGUCUACUGUAGCGUAAUACAUGGUUUGUGUGUAGUAUGCCAAGAAAGAACUCUGGAAUAUGUCAUAGCUGUCGAGAGAAGAGUCACUUCUUUGCUGAUUGUGUGAAAAAAAAACGAUGCCCUCGGUGUAAAAUUGGUUUUGUGAAGUGCUUUGAGGUCGAGAGGGAAACGAAGAACAGGAGAAAAUUGUUCAAUUGCUGCAUUGCUAACUGUAAAUAUUAGGAAUUGCUCGACCUUGAAGAAUCAAGUGCUGGAUCAAGUAGCAUUACUGUAAACUCGAAUAAUCAUGCGGCUACGGAAGAAGUUCAACACUUCUCUGACUUGUUCCAAUCUUUUUGUCGGGUAGCCGAAGAAAAAAAUAUUGAAAUUGCAUUGAACAUGACUAUAUGCAAGGCCAGCGGAAGUGCGGAAGUGGAUAAGAAAGGGAAGGGACCAGCAUGAUUAGUAGUUAUGUUGUCAAUAAGUGUCGUUCCCUGCUACUUUUGAUGUGUAAUAUGUGUUCUGUCUAGUGUAGCUGGUGAACUGUAAGAAUGCCGAUGUUCAUUUUGGUGAAUGUAACAUGUUGGUCUGAUGAUGAAAGCAACUAUAUCAAGGAUGUUGGUCUGAGGAAUGAAACUAAGUUAUGUUCUUGACGCUAGUGUAUGACAGGAAUUUAAUGUAUAAACUUUUAUGCAAGUCAUCCGAAUUGAAUAAUAAUCAGAGAACUUAUAUGUUUCCAACCCCCAAAUUUGAUGAAAUUCAUUUUGAUUCUGCUACCCCCUUAGGCUCCAAUUUUGAAGGGACAGAAAUUAGUAAUUAUGAGAGAGUGUAUGCAUGUGGC
rnacentral:lncRNA from 1 species